rnacentral:rRNA from 1 species
GCAAUAGAUUCUUUGCGUACCGCUCAGUAACACGUGGGUAACCUGCCCUAUGCUGGGGAAUAACCUCGGGAAACUGAGAAUAAUGCCCCAUAGCCCACUACGCCUGGAACGGUGAGUGGGUCAAAGCUUCGGCGGCAUAGGAUGGGCCUGCGCCAUAUCAGGUUGUAGGGGGUGUAAAGUACCCUCUAGCCAUCAACGCGUACGGGUGUUGGGAGACAUUGCCCGGAGAUGGAUUCUGAGACACGAAUCCAGACCCUACGGGGUGCAGCAGGCGCGAAAACUUGGCAAUGCGAGCAAUCGUGACCAGAGAACUCCAAGUGCUUAGGGUAAGACCUAAGCUUUUCUUGACUCUACAAAGGUCUUGGAAUAAGGGGUGGGUAAGGACGGUGCCAGCCCCGCGGUAAUACCGGCGCCUCAAGUGGUAGUCGCUUUUAUUACGCCUAAAACGUCCGUCGCCGGUCUGGUGCAUUCGUUGGUAAAUCAACCCGCUCAACGGGUUGAAUUCUUCCAGCACCGCCAGACUUGGGACCGGGAGAGGUGUGUGGUACUC